rnacentral:rRNA from 1 species
GACAGAGGGGGCAAGCGUUGCUCGGAAUUACUGGGCGUAAAGGGCGCGUAGGCGGGAUGGCAAGUCGGUCGUGAAAUCCCUCGGCUCAACCGAGGAACGUCGAUCGAUACUGCUGUUCUUGAGGAUUGCAGAGGAGACUGGAAUUCCCGGUGUAGCGGUGAAAUGUGUAGAGAUCGGGAGGAACACCGGUGGCGAAGGCGGUUCUCUGGGCAUGUCCUGACGCUGAGGAGCGAAAGUGUGGGGAGCGAACAGG